UACGUAGGGUGCAAGCGUUGUCCGGAAUUACUGGGCGUAAAGGGCGCGUAGGCGGGAUGGCAAGUCGGUCGUGAAAUCCCUCGGCUCAACCGAGGAACGUCGAUCGAUACUGCUGUUCUUGAGGAUUGCAGAGGAGACUGGAAUUCCCGGUGUAGCGGUGAAAUGUGUAGAGAUCGGGAGGAACACCGGUGGCGAAGGCGACCACCUGGACUGAUACUGACACUGAGGUGCGAAAGCGUGGGGAGCAAACAGG
rnacentral:rRNA from 1 species